GAUGAAGAACGUAGCGAAAUGCGAUAAGUAAUGUGAAUUGCAGAAUUCAGUGAAUCAUCGAAUCUUUGAACGCACCUUGCGCCCUUUGGCCAUUCCGAAGGGCAUGCCUGUUUUAGUAUCAUGAACACCUCAACUCUUCAUGGUUUUCCAUGAUGAGCUUGGACUUUGGGGGUCUUGCUGGCCUGUGGGUCGGCUCCUCUCAAAUGAAUCAGCUUGCCGGUUUUUGGUGGGCAUCACAGGUGUGAUAACUAUCUACGCUUGUGGUUUUCCACCAGGGUAACCUUCAGCAGUGGAGGUUCACUGGAGCUUACAAAUGUCUCUCCUCUGUGAGGACAGCCCUUUGAAUGUUUGAUCUCAAAUCAGGUAGGACUACCCGCUGAACUUAAGCAUAUCAAUAAGCGGAGGA
rnacentral:misc_RNA from 1 species